rnacentral:rRNA from 1 species
GAUGAACGCUGGCGGCGUGCCUAAUACAUGCAAGUCGAGCGAACAGACGAGGAUCUUGCUCCUCUGACGUUAGCGGCGGACGGGUGAGUAACACGUGGAUAACCUACCUAUAAGACUGGGAUAACUUCGGGAAACCGGAGCUAAUACCGGAUAAUAUAUUGAACCGCAUGGUUCAAUAGUGAAAGACGGUUUUGCUGUCACUUAUAGAUGGAUCCGCGCCGCAUUAGCUAGUUGGUAAGGUAACGGCUUAUCAAGGCAACGAUGCGUAGCCGACCUGAGAGGGUGAUCGGCCACCCUGGAACUGAGACACGGUCCAGACUCCUACGGGAGGCAGCAGUAGGGAAUCUUCCGCAAUGGGCGAAAGCUUGACGGAGCAACGCCGCGUGAGUGAUGAAGGUCUUCGGAUCGUAAAACUCUGUUAUUAGGGAAGAACAAAUGUGUAAGUAACUAUGCACGUCUUGACGGUACCUAAUAAGAAAGCCACGGCUAACUACGUG